ensembl:lncRNA
CCCUAACCUCCCCCAGGACCCCCGCAUCCCCCGCCCCCGCACCUGCGUGAGCAGCAUGAACGCGUUGUCAGCCCGGAGGUUCUUCUUCAGGAACUCCACGCAGUGGGCCUCGAGCGCGGGCACCGCGUACUUCUUGGCGGUGUACAGCGUGGUCAUGACGGUCUCGGGUCCGAUCUGAACCUCAUCCGAGUAGAGAAACCUAAGGGGACAGGACACUAAGAGCAGCGGACGCAGCUGGCAGGCGCCGCUCCAGCCCCCGCCCCCUGGCCAGCCGGAGAGCCUUCCAGAACCGGCGCCCGUUGCUGUGCCCCGCAGAUAGGACCUGGCAAAGACCCUUAUCUGCCAGACCAGCCGGCGGCGACCCCACCCACCGGCCACCAGGACACGGGUCUACCCAGCAGGCCUGCUUCCUUCCCGGCGGGACGCCCCCAGGCCAGGACCCUAGUGCCCAAGGCCACCGGCCCCUCUGGAGGCCUCUGCCCUGGGAUCCCCGGAGCUCUCCGCACCCCCGGGCCUGGACGUCACAGGACCAGAAACGCCAGCCUGAGUCAGGUCCUGGACACAUGACCAGCGCCACCUCCGGACUUGAAGCAGGACAGUGGGGUAAAUUUUUUAAAAGCAAAGUGGUGGAGGAAUCAGAUCCCUCGUACGAAGCCAGCGGGAAUGCAGAGUGAAGGAGCCGCAGGAGCAAAGCCUGGAAAGCGCCCAGGCCCCAACCCCGAGGUCAGCAGUGCAGCAGGGGACACCUGUGACAGGACGGCCAGCACGGGCGCCAGGACGGAGCCCCUCACACACCAGCUGGGACAGCAUCGACCCUGGGGGGGCAGCUCAGCAGUAGGGACCCGAACCCCGGGGAGCCAGAGGGAGGCUGUGGCCGGAGACCGGCAGCCCGCCGCAGGUCAGUGGAAGCCAGGGUUUCGGCAAAUUGUAACCUGUCACCUGUGUUUUUUAAUGAACGUCUCUUUUAUUUAUUUAUUUUUAAAAUGACAAUAAAAUACACACAACGUGGGGGCGUCUGGCUGGC